GAUCCUGACUCAGGAUGAACGCUAGCUACAGGCUUAACACAUGCAAGUCGAGGGGCAGCGGGAUUGAAGCUUGCUUCAAUUGCCGGCGACCGGCGCACGGGUGAGUAACGCGUAUCCAACCUUCCGCUUACUCGGGGAUAGCCUUUCGAAAGAAAGAUUAAUACCCGAUGGUAUCUUAAGCACGCAUGAGAUUAAGAUUAAAAGAUUUAUCGGUAAGCGAUGGGGAUGCGUUCCAUUAGGCAGUUGGG
rnacentral:rRNA from 1 species